GGCAGCAACGUUUUUGUUGAAUAGAAUCACAUACUUCAAUAUCUCUUAUCAUCAAAAUUGAAGAUCCCACCCAAGUAAUGAAAAUCUUGUAAUGAAAAGGAAGGGCAAACAACAAGCAGUACGUAUUGCAACGAAAUAUUUCCAUUGUUGGAGAAAUGGAGAAAUUAACGUGACAAAAAUAAUGAGCAGCAAGUCAUUAGCGAGCAGCAACAAUACACACAAAUAGAUGUUUCCGAUCGCUGGUAACGUGAUUCUAACGUCAUGUUCCUUUGGAUCCUAGCAAAUCGGAGAUUUCUUCAAAGAGAAGAAAUGUGAAAGAAGAGUAGUUCUUGGAAAAUAAGAUCUUGGGAAGCUCGAGACUUAAGUUUGGAUUAGCUUAAGAAGUGGACAAGUCCCAGAUUGUUUUGCAGGUAAAAGUAUUCAGCUAGGAUGGUUGUCUAUCAGCUGGGAUUGGCAAACUCCAUUUUCUUACUGGAGCAGUGCCGAGUCAUUAUGAUUAUCAUGUGUGUGUACGGGUAUGUCGGGGCCCUGUCCCGACUCUUGUGAUUCAGGUGUUUACUCUUAGAGACUUUGCAGACAGAGUCCUGUGGUUAGUAUGUUGAGAUGUCAUGUGUUGAGUAAAGCGACCAUAUAGUUAGUUUGACUUACUCGGUUUUUGAUUAAUUGAGUAUCGUUCGCAAACUUCUAUGGUUUGACCGAAAGUACUUUAUUCUAUUUCCAAAAAAAUUUAUAUGUUCAAUUUCAUUGUGUUAAUACCAGAGGGUUCGCUCAGCUCUAAGUAAGGGUUGGGUCCCCAUCAUGCCCUGAUGAGAUCGGGGUGUGACAUGUAGACAGGGAGAUGGACCAUCAGAGAUUGUACUGGAGCACUCCUUUUGUUCCAGAGCAGUGAUUCAGUUGGUAUUAUUCUUUUGUGUACAUAUAUGGGCAUAGCGGGGUCCUGUCCCGUCUUUAUGAUGUUAUGCAGUCCAUGUAGAGGCUCGUAGACAAAUGUAUAUAGUUAGAUGUUCUAUAAUCGCAUCGGUUCAUUUUUUUUUAUAUCCUCUGAUAGCCUUGUCGGCUUAUAUAUGGGCACAUUUGAUGAAGUGUGUGUGUG